AGGGAAGCACGACCACACCACGGUCCUUCGUUUUUUCCUUUUUUUUCCCUUAAAUAUCUUUUAUUUCGGUUAAUAAUAUAUCGUACUAGUUACUUAAUAUUAUCCUCAAGACAAAGAAAUAAUGGCCUUUGCUCAUAUUGCAAUAAAUUCGAUAUAUUCUACGUAAAAUUGUUUUAAUAUCGACGAAAGAGAACGAUUCGAGCAGCUAAAAUUUGGCGCGAAAACGUGCAUGAUGGCGUCAUCAAUUUAUUUUGCAGAUUAGUUUUUUUCCUCGUGAUAGAUAUAAUUUUUACUCUUCAAAUUCAUAUUUUUGGAUAUAGUCUUACUGGCAGACAACGACGAUAGGACUAUCUUCUUUCAGAAUUUUCUGUGCUGAUUGCCAUAAUGUUACUAAUGACAUAGUCGCAGAUAAAAUCUGCGACUAACCUCUGAAUUAUCGACGAGUAUCAGUUUCUCUAACGUGUAGUACUCAAAUGUUGCGAAUUCUUUCGUUCGAACAUUUAUAUAUGGUACUGGUUUAAAUUCUCUUUUUGGAACAAUAGGACAACACGUCUGUACAAAGUGAACUCAAUUUGUUUCUCCGGUCCACAAAAAGAGGUGCAGGCUGCAAUUUUUCCAACAUAAUGCGCAUAAGGAAUUAAAUUUGAAAAUGUGAUAUUGGUGACCGCAGUUGAAAGAUAUAAAGGAGCAUCCCACUGCAAAUUGAUUUUCGACGAUGUCAGUCUCAUCUUGAAAUUCCUUAUUUCCGAUGGCACUAUUGUAAACAGAUAUCUCAGAGACCAUGGAAUCGAUGGAGGAAUUAAAUUUAAAAAAAGUACCUUCAUGAAGAGUUCGAACUUCUUGUGAAUAUAAUAAUAUCAUUGCUCCUUUGCUGAUUGUAAUUUUGUAGAAGGUAUAAGAUUCUCAAACGCGAAAUCGUACCAGUUACUUGGACAAGAAUACAAGGAUUCCUAAAAAUCGAUGGAACAUUUUCAAGGAGCAUAGAAAAAAAUGUUGAAGAUACAGAUAGAAGAAAUAAUUAUUACUUCUUGAUCCUUCGUCAAUAUUAAACUAGUAGUUCUUAUUUUUACGUGAAAGUUGACAGUUGCUGAAAAAUUUUCUCAUUUAUUUCUUAUCGUUAAACUGAUAUUUGUCAAGGAUGUAUGAAAUGUAAUAGCUUACGAAUGCAACGAGUUGUGAAAUUCUUCGAAUCACUGACUAUAGGUACGUUAUCAUUGAUGUAUAGUAUGUAAAAAAUUUUAUAAAUAAUGCCAGGCUCCAAAUCGUUGGUAUAUCCAAUCAUCAUUGAAAUAUUAUCAAAUAUUUUGGUAUAGUUUCCCAUAGUUUUCAAUUCUGGAUAAGUAAUAUUAUCUUCUAUUUUCUGGUAAAAGAUAUAUUGAUUAUUUAUAAAAUUAAAGCAGAAAAUUAUAUGUACAAAAUUAAUACUAUUUUAAUUACAUGUAUAACAAACUUAUAGCCAAGAGGUAUUGUUUCAUUGGAUGAUAAUGCCUCUUUCACUGAAAGACUCGCGCGGACCAUUGUUUCAUUAAUGAAAUCGAUGUUAGGUGGUGGAAGUAUGCCAUUAUUCGUGUUCGUCACUAAUGCGUUAAUAUUAUAUAGCAUCAGAGUUAUUGCAAUUAAUAGAUUUGUUCCGUUAGAUAUACUCGUUAAAUUCAUAUUCGGUAUAUUCGCUAUGUUAAUUUUGCACUCUCAACUCCAUAUAAAAUCACAGAAAAUUAAAUUUUACUACAUACAACGUUAAUACAUAACGUGGAAUAUUAAACUGAACGCAUCUUACAAUUAGAAUGAUUUUAUAUGGAGCGAGGGAUCGACUUCCUAUUGGGUGAAUCUACGAUAAGGAACAUCCGGUUCUUUUCUGAUACGUUGAAUAUUAAUAAUUAUACAGCGUUUCGUUAAACUGAGCGUAUCGAGAUAAAUAUACGUAUCAUAAUUGAGAUACAUUUUUUCGGAAAUUUUUAUUUAAAAAUCGAUACAAAAUAUACAAGGUCUUACAAAAA